CCUACGGGAGGCAGCAGUAGGGAAUCUUCCACAAUGGACGAAAGUCUGAUGGAGCAACGCCGCGUGAGUGAUGAAGGUUUUCGGAUCGUAAAACUCUGUUGUAAGGGAAGAACAAGUACGUUAGGAAAUGAACGUACCUUGACGGUACCUUAUUAGAAAGCCACGGCUAACUACGUGCCAGCAGCCGCGGUAAUACGUAGGUGGCAAGCGUUGUCCGGAUUUAUUGGGCGUAAAGCGCGCGCAGGUGGUUUCUUAAGUCUGAUGUGAAAGCCCACGGCUCAACCGUGGAGGGUCAUUGGAAACUGGGAGACUUGAGUGCAGAAGAGGAUAGUGGAAUUCCAAGUGUAGCGGUGAAAUGCGUAGAGAUUUGGAGGAACACCAGUGGCGAAGGCGACUGUCUGGUCUGUAACUGACACUGAGGCGCGAAAGCGUGGGGAGCAAACAGGAUUAGAUACCCUGGUAGUCCACGCCGUAAACGAUGAGUGCUAAGUGUUAGGGGGUUUCCGCCCCUUAGUGCUGCAGCUAACGCAUUAAGCACUCCGCCUGGGGAGUACGACCGCAAGGUUGAAACUCAAAGGAAUUGACGGGGGCCCGCACAAGCGGUGGAGCAUGUGGUUUAAUUCGAACAACGCGAAGAACCUUAC
rnacentral:rRNA from 1 species